UACGUAGGGGGCAAGCGUUGUCCGGAAUCAUUGGGCGUAAAGCGAGUGUAGGUGGUUGUCCAAGUUGGAUGUGAAAGCCUUGAGCUCAACUCAAGAAAUGCAUUCAGGACUGGAUGACUAGAGGACCGGAGAGGAUAGUGGAAUUCCCAGUGUAGUGGUGAAAUACGUAGAGAUUGGGAAGAACACCAGUGGCGAAGGCGGCUAUCUGGACGGUUUCUGACACUAAGACUCGAAAGCGUGGGGAGCAAACAGG
rnacentral:rRNA from 1 species